AUUCCAGCUCCAAUAGCGUAUAUUAAAGUUGUUGCAGUUAAAAAGCUCGUAGUUGGAUUUCCGGCGUGAGGGAUCAGUCUGACUUCUAGUCAGUACUUGGUCCUCUCAUGCCGUCCUUGAAUGGUGCAUCCUGGCAUUAAGUUGUCGGGGUGAGAGCCGUUCAUCGUUUACUGUGAGAAAAUUAGAGUGUUCAAAGCAGGCUUAUGCCGUUGAAUAUAUUAGCAUGGAAUAAUAAGAUAGGACUUUGGUACUAUUUUGUUGGUUUGAGAACCAAGGUAAUGAUCAAUAGGGACAGUUGGGGGUAUUCGUAUUCAGUUGUCAGAGGUGAAAUUCUUAGAUUUCCGGAAGACGAGCUACUGCGAAAGCAUUUACCAAGGAUGUUUUCAUUA
rnacentral:rRNA from 1 species